rnacentral:rRNA from 1 species
UACGGAGGGUGCGAGCGUUGUCCGGAAUCACUGGGCGUAAAGGGCGCGUAGGCGGGCGAUUAAGUCAGGGGUGAAAUCCCGGAGCUCAACUCCGGAACUGCCUUUGAUACUGGUCGUCUAGAGAUCGGAAGAGGUGAGUGGAAUUCCCAGUGUAGAGGUGAAAUUCGUAGAUAUUGGGAAGAACACCAGUGGCGAAGGCGGCUCACUGGUCCGAUACUGACGCUGAGGUGCGAAAGCGUGGGGAGCAAACAGG